rnacentral:rRNA from 1 species
UAACGGCGUCGAGCGGCGGACGGGUGAGUAAUGCCUAGGAAAUUGCCCUGAUGUGGGGGAUAACCAUUGGAAACGAUGGCUAAUACCGCAUGAUGCCUACGGGCCAAAGAGGGGGACCUUCGGGCCUCUCGCGUCAGGAUAUGCCUAGGUGGGAUUAGCUAGUUGGUGAGGUAAGGGCUCACCAAGGCGACGAUCCCUAGCUGGUCUGAGAGGAUGAUCAGCCACACUGGAACUGAGACACGGUCCAGACUCCUACGGGAGGCAGCAGUGGGGAAUAUUGCACAAUGGGCGCAAGCCUGAUGCAGCCAUGCCGCGUGUGUGAAGAAGGCCUUCGGGUUGUAAAGCACUUUCAGUCGUGAGGAAGGUGGUGUAGUUAAUAGCUGUAUUAUUUGACGUUAGCGACAGAAGAAGCACCGGCUAACUCCGUGCCAGCAGCCGCGGUAAUACGGAGGGUGCGAGCGUUAAUCGGAAUUACUGGGCGUAAAGCGCAUGCAGGUGGUUUGUUAAGUCAGAUGUGAAAGCCCGGGGCUCAACCUCGGAAUUGCAUUUGAAACUGGCAGACUAGAGUACUGUAGAGGGGGGUAGAAUUUCAGGUGUAGCGGUGAAAUGCGUAGAGAUCUGAAGGAAUACCGGUGGCGAAGGCGGCCCCCUGGACAGAUACUGACACUCAGAUGCGAAAGCGUGGGGAGCAAACAGGAUUAGAUACCCUGGUAGUCCACGCCGUAAACGAUGUCUACUUGGAGGUUGUGGCCUUGAGCCGUGGCUUUCGGAGCUAACGCGUUAAGUAGACCGCCUGGGGAGUACGGUCGCAAGAUUAAAACUCAAAUGAAUUGACGGGGGCCCGCACAAGCGGUGGAGCAUGUGGUUUAAUUCGAUGCAACGCGAAGAACCUUACCUACUCUUGACAUCCAGAGAACUUUCCAGAGAUGGAUUGGUGCCUUCGGGAAC